CCGCCGGGGAGCUGCGUGCGCCCGGGCCGGAAGGGGCCCGCGCCCCCGGCGCCCACAGGUGCGGCGUCCUCGCCUCCUCCGCGCCCCGCGCGCCCCCCGGGCUGCGCCAGCGAAGGGCAGAGUCUGGAGCCGGGAGCGGGACGGUGCAGGCUCAGGGAAAGGCAGGGUUGUAACAUCCAUCUGAGAUGAGGGUGAAGAGAAAGUUCAGAGGGAAAAGAUUUGGAGAGAUGAUUCCUGUUCGACCUUCAUAAAUGGAAAGGACUGGAAAGGCUGCCUGCCAGAGGCGCUGAGAAUCUUUCACAGGGCUGGUCCCUCCUGCAAAAUGGAGGAUCAUGCCACGUGGUGAAGAGGAGUCACUCCCAGAGCAGCUGCCAGAAGCUCCAGCUUGCCAUGGCCUGGGGCCAUUGCCAACACUCUGCAGGGUGACAGACUUUGAGGCUGAGGGAUGUUCUGCUGUAAGGAGGGAGACCUUACCCUGGCGAAAGCGAAGCUCUCAUCAGUGCUGAUGAAGCUGCUGUUCACUUACGAGUCACAGAAAUUUCCUAAAUGACCCCCAUUUGUGACCUCAAAAUUUGGAAGUUGCGUAACCUCCUGGAAUUUGCAUAGUGGCCAUCAUUCGUGGAAUGCUAUUUCCAGAACUGAAUUCCCAGGAUGAGGCUGUGUUUGGAAUUUAAGGUUUUCUUACAGGCACCACUUAAGCAUUUUAUUUUCAUCUGCUUCAUAGCUCUUUAGUUGUCCAGUGGUGGGUUACCAAAUAGCUGCAGUUUUGUUGUUUCACAUAAAACGUUUACAUAUGGAAAACAUGAUUUGUAGGUAUAUUACUAAGACAAUAAAAGUAGACCAUCAGUCCGUAGGAAGUUCUGUUUUUGUUUUGUAAAAUUAUGUAUCGGAAAAGAAACCCUCUGGGCAGCCUCUGUACCCUCCUCCCUGCUGCUGUGUUAGCUGCUGAUGGCUACUGCUGCCCAACUAGCUCCUUUGUGUCAAGGUGGGAUCAUUUUUGCAGUGUUACUCUUGUUGGAAAACUCCCUGUAGGACCAGGCUGAGCCUAGACUUCAGCAGUAACCACAUCCUUGCUUUGCUUCAUUCCCACCCUGUCCUGCUUCCUUCACAUCAGUACAAGUUCCUUCUGAAACAUACUCCCUCAGUAAAUCACUUGUGUAAGGAUCUUUAUCUCAGGCCCACCUCAAGAGACCGUACAUGAUUAGCACCAAAUGAGGGUAGAUACAGAAAAAUGUUAAAAUAAAGCAAUAUUUUGGAAAAAGGUCCUUUGCAAAGUAACAAAGGAUAUCCAUUUAAAUAUAUAAAAAUAUGCAUAGAUACUUGGAAAUUUUGACGUAUAGUGACAGAGUAAUGGGAAUAUUGUAUACAAUUCUUGACAUUCAAGUAAUAGAAGCAUAGAAAGUCAAAAGUUGGGCAUAGAUGACUCCCAUCAAGAACAAAUGUGUACAUCCAUGAACUUACAUUUAAUGAUCAUGACCCUGUCAGCUACAUCUUGUUUGACAUUUACGGAAAGAUGUGUGGUAAUGGAUUGGUGAAUUCAUUAGCAUUAUGAAUCAUGUAAAAACAGAAUCUUUAACAUAUUUUAUUAAGUGUUGACUAAAAACUGUCAGUUUGGAGAGGACAAAGAUUACAAAUGUUUUAAAUUAGGUUCUCUAAGGGCAGUGAAAUUGAAACAAUCAAAUUUUACCCUAAAUGAUCAAAGGAUGGAAUGCAGAUCUCUCUGUCAUAUUGUCAUAUCUCUGGACUCCGUCUGUCCAGAGGAGUUUAUGUAAGUCCAGAAAAGCACAAAACUCAGGAAUGAGCGGAAGGGGAAAUGCCAAAUGCUGAGUCAGACACUGGAUGAGAAGUUCUGUUCUGAUUUUUCAAAAGAAAAAGACAACAGGUUUGAGAUUGAGGCUCAUUCAUUUAUUGAUUCAACUCAUAUUUAAAGAGCACCUCUUCUGUUCUGGGGGUCCCAUGCUUGUUGCUAUGGUUACAGACAUGAAAAGGCAGAAAUGAGCUCCUAAGCCAAAUUUGCUGUUGUAAUCAUUCCUGGUCUGACUUCCCUGCUUUUUGCAAAUGAUUUCUGGAGUUUAUAAGCUCUGUCUACCUUUGUGUGGUUUCCUAGGGCUUUCAAAUAUUUAGCAAUGUCUAAACUUUUGUCAAUUGCCUUAAACUCUUCAGUUAAUUCAUAUUCCAGAAUUGUCACAGGGAAAAAAUGGAUCUAUUCCCUUUAUCCCUCCCCUUAAGAGCUCUACAGUAAUAGAUAAUUUAAUGUAUGAGCAUUCAUCAUUAAAUAUUCUGUAUCUUAAUUAUUUUUCCAUGAAAAAAUGAAAAUUCUACUUAAAUCUCUUGGAGUCUGAUGCUAAAUGUUGGCAUCCAAGUUGUAAAGUUCUUCAAGACUUUUGGACACAAGAAAUCCCAUAUUUGAGAGAUUAGUCCAUCUUGUGUCAUUAGAUUUUAGUGUCUUGAUUGAUUUAUUCUGUUCAGUCCCUAACCCAUCUGUAUUACGACGACUGAUAUUUGUGAAUAUCUUUCAUGACAUCUGAUUUGUCAUAACUUUGAGAAUUUUAUCUUCGUAAAUUCAGUAUAUUAAUAGUGUAUGUAGUUUUGCUGAGUAUAGAAGUUAGGAUUCAGAUAAGUAACUAGAAGUUAACCUUCUAGAAACAGGAGUUUGGUCUGGUGUGCUAAUAUAGCUUGUGACAUUCUGAAGAAUAUUUUGACUAAAUUUUGAGAUAAAUUGAUAGGAAUAAAUUUCUCAAGUACUUUAAAGAAAAUUAUUUAUGAUGGUUCUUUCAUCUGUUAAUGGAAGAGGGUUAUUUUUCUCUUAAUGAUGUAAGGAUUUCGUAUCUUAAUUUUUAAAUAGAAGUAUGUAAAUGAAAUUUGGACUUGGGGAACCACUUUGAAUUUCCAUAAGAGUCUUCCUUUUUAUAAAACCACACUGUCUGAGAAGAAGUCUCACACUGUUGUGCCUUAAUUUAGCAUGUAAACAAAUUCUUUAUAUAAAUUAACUUCGUCACUAGACUGUUUCCAGUGUGUUUGUGCCUGUGUCAACGCUCUUGAGAUUUAUGGAUUGUUGGACUUUUAAAAAUCCAUUUGGAUCAAGAGCGUUCUCUAUGGAAGAGUAGAUACCUACCUAAUUGAAAAGAAAAGCACUAUUUUAUCUGUUACCAAGAAUUCUUCAUUUUCAUCAUUCAGUCUCUGAGAAAGUUAACUAAUGAGGAAUAGAUUAUAUUACUUAGCAACCUUCUAUUCAUUUUACCACAUUGUUGAAAGCAGGUGUUCUGCAAAUAAUUCACAUAAUGAAACAAUGGACAUAAAUUAUAUACCUUAAGAAACAUUAAAAAUUCAAAUAGUUAUAACCCCAUUCAUAGCUCAUUUGUUAAUUUCUAAGAAAAUUAAUUUUGAAGUAAAUUAUUAAUUUCUUUUUUUUAAAGAUUUCAUUUAUUUAUUUGUCAGAGGGAGAGAGAGAGAGAGCACAAGCAGGGGGAGCGGCAGGCAGAGGGCAAAGCAGGCUCCCUGCUGAGCAAGGAGCCCCAUGCGGGACCUGAUCCCAGGAUCCUGGGAUCAUCACUUGAGUCGAAGACACUUAACCAGCAAAGCCACCUAGGCAUCCCAAAUUAUUAACUUCUAAGAAAAACCUUAAUAAACAAAAUAAUUUAAGAGUAUUUUGAAGUAGCAAAAAUAUGUUACAUUUUAUAGAUUCUAUUCACUGCUUCCACAGUACAUACAUUUUUACUGUAUUAACUGAUUCGUUGGUAUCCUCUAAAUACCUUGAAUUUUUAAUAUGACUGGUAUUAUUGGGGUUGGUCCUCAGGUGUGCAUAUCAGAAGACAAACACAGAAAUGGCCAAAAAUUAGCAGGCUUUUAUCACUCCCCGCAAAAAAUACAUUUUCUUAGCAGGUGCAAAAUUGGAACUCUAAAUUGAAACAACACUAAAAUAACACAUUUGCUUAUAGUGGAUAAUUUCUGCACUUUUUUUUUUGAGAGAGAGGUCAAGAGCACACAAGUGGGUGGGGGAGGGGCAGAGGGAGAAGGAGAGAGAGAAGCUUAAGCAGGCUCCAUGCUGAGCGUGGAGCCUGAUGCAGGGCUCCAUCUCACAACCCUGAGAUCGUGACCUGAGUCAAAACCAAGAGUCAGACGCUUAACCAACUGAGCCACCCAGGAGCUCCAGUUUCUGCACUAUUUUGUAAAAAGUUUCUGCACUAUUUUGUAAAGAGUUUCUGCAAGUUUAAGACAAGAUAUCGAUAAUUUUAUUAAUAUCAGAAUUUGAUAGUCUGAGGCCCUCUGAUAAACAAACAAACAAAAAAAACCCCACUGGCAAAACAAAAAAAACUACAUGAGGUACUGUGAGAAAAUGAAAAAGAAGUUAAAGUUGGUCAUUUGCAAUUUAAUUAAGACAAUAUCUUGAACGCAAAUGAAGAAGAUAUAAGACAAGUUCAGAGGAACAUUAGAAAUUUGUCUUUCUUGGUUCUUUAAUUUUAUAGAAGUUGAAAUUGAAACAUACUAGGUUAGUGACUUGUCCAAAGUCAUGGCUAAAUUGUGGCAGAACCGGCUCCUGACUUAUCUAUUCCCCCUUUCAUUGCGUGUCACUGCCUCCCAUGAUACAAAGACAUGGACACAUGCCAGUUAAUUAUAAUUGCUUAAGAAAAAUCAGUUGAAAAAUGAUGAACUGUAAUCACAUAUGGGCCGAAAUAACAUUAGUGUAUUCAAGACUAUUUGGGAGAGGAAACUCCAUUCUGGAACAUCCAUCUCGGACUUGCUGGCAUAACAAUCUGCGACUUUAUUUUUAACAGUUAUCAAUCACUAGUAUAAUAAGGCAAACGCUACCGUGAAAUUUAAUUAUAGGAUCAAAUUUUUAAAAAUUAUAUAUGUUUAAAUCUUGUACAAAGGAAAGGGGUUGCGUUUUUUUCAGCCCCAAAAUUCUCUCCUUCUUCCUUUUGAUUUGAUGUUGAGACUAGCUCGUUUCAUAGUCAAGUCUGUAUGAAAAUAACCCAGAGAGGGAAAAACAAGGACUUUAACAGAUCUCAUGUGGCAAUAGUGUGAAGCUAAAUAUCACUGUGUUCUAUUGAAUGAUUUUUAACUUCUUUUUAGGUGUGGGUUGGGGAAUAGGUAAUAACUGAGUAAAAUUUAAUUGGUUUAAUUCAUCCUCAUUCUCUUUACUAUUUAAAUCAUACAGUCAAUGAAUCUAUUCUUGAUUUGUUUUAAUCAGCUUGUUUUAAUCUAAACUUAGGAUAAGACUUAGAAAAAGAACAUCAGUUAAGGUGUGGUCUUUUGCAGGUUAUACAUAAAUUAUGUGGGAAACCAAUUAUUUUAUGUAUUUCAUACCCUCAUUAAUAUAUACCAAAUAUUUAUAACAACUCAUUAGGCUUUAAACUUUUUUCGAGGGCGCCUGGGUGGCUCAGAUGGUUAAGCGUCUGCCUUCGGCUCAGGUCAUGAUCCUAGGGUCCUGGGAUCGAGUCCCGCAUCGGGCUCCCUGCUCUGCGGGGAGCCUGCUUCUCCCUCUCCCACUCCCCCUGCUUGUGUUCCCUCUCUCGCUGUGUCUCUCUCUGUCAAAUAAAUAAAUAAAAUCUUUAAAAAAAAAAAUAAUGUCCUUCAUAGUAGAAAGAUCCAGUUUAGAAUAAUGCACUGCAUUUUACUGUCCUGUCUCUUUAGCCUCUGCAGGUUUAGGAAAGUCUUCAGUCUUUCCUUGAAUCUCGUAAACUGGGCACUUUUACGUAUGGACCAAUUAUUUUGUGGAAUGUCCUUCAAUUUGGAUAUGUCUAAUUUUACCUUGUGAUAAAAUGAAUGCAGCUUUGGCAGGAAUAUCACACACAUGAUGCUGCCGUCUUCUGAUUUCAGCUCGUCUGAGGUGCAGGAUUUUGACCUGUGCGAUUACCGAUGAUGAGCACUUUGAUAACUAGGUUAAAGUGGUAUCUGCCAGGUUUCUUCACAGUGCAGUUACCCUUUCUUCCUUUGUAAAUGAGAAGUAUUCAUGGUGAGGUACUUUAUUUUAUUUUAUUUUUUAGAUUUUUGUAUUUAUUUUAGAGAGAGAGUGCACACGAGCGGGGGGAGGGGCAGAGAGAGAGAGAAAAGCAGACUCCCCACUGAGUGCAGAGUCUGCACAGGGCUCCGUCUCACAACCUUGAGAUCAUGUCCUGAACCAAAUCCAAGAGUUGGACGCUUAACCGACUGAACCCCCCAGGUGCCCCUUAAGGUCCUUUAAGACAAUGAAAACACCUCAUUCCUCUUCAAAUUUCAAGUUAUUCACUUAUUUGUUUAUGUAUUUAUAGACUCAUGGUCUACUAUUUUAUUUAAUGGACUAAAAUCCAUUACUAUCUUUAUAUAUUUUGAUGCUAAAAUUGUUGUGGGAGCCACUUUGAUUGUCUUUAUAUUCUUUUGCUCCAUUAUUCUUUGAGCGUUUCUUUACUUUCCAGCACAAUAAAACAUUCUCAUCUCAAACUUUCCCUGCAUCAUCCUUGUAUUGGUCAUUAUUCUAAGGAAUCUUGUUCCU